CGUAGGUGGCAAGCGUUGUCCGGAUUUAUUGGGUUUAAAGGGUGCGUAGGUGGCUAUCUAAGUCAGUGGUGAAAUAUCUCAGCUUAACUGAGAGGGUGCCAUUGAUACUGGAUAGCUUGAGUACAGAUGAGGUAGGCGGAAUUGACGGUGUAGCGGUGAAAUGCAUAGAUAUCGUCAAGAACACCGAUAGCGAAGGCAGCUUACCAAGCUGUAACUGACACUGAGGCACGAAAGUGUGGGGAUCAAACAGGAUUAGAUACCCUGGUAGUCCACACUGUAAACGUUGAUGACUCGAUGUUGGCGAUACACAGCCAGCGUCCAAGAGCAAUCGUUAAGUCAUCCACCUGGGGAGUACGCCGGCAACGGUG
rnacentral:rRNA from 1 species